CGAGGGGCCGUGGCGCGUGCGGCGCUGCGGACGGAGCCUGGCCUUGGACUCCAGGGAGACUUUCGGUGAAGGAUAUCCAGGUCUAGAGCUGAGAAGAGGACAAGGGCCCAGGACUGAGCUCUUAGCAACUCGGGCAUUUAAAGGCCAGGAGGAGAAAGUUGAGCCUGCAGAAGGAUAGAGAAUGAGCAGUCACAAGGGCUGGAGGAAACAGGAGAGCUCUGUUCUUCAGAAGCCACAGGAAGACUUCAGAAGCAGGAGAGCUCAGUGGCUUCCGGGCUGUUCUGGUAACCUGUUUGCUCAGAGAGAGAGACAGAGACAGAUGCUGCGUGACUUUAUGGUCUAGUCUCCGAAGACUCCCGGUGUCUCUUCUGCUACGCUGCCUUCCUCAGAGCUGCUAUGUGAAAGAAACUUGAUGGGGGUUUUCCAAAAUUUUCUCUCUCUACCAUCCUGUAAUGAAGGAUAAUUGGAAGAAAGGCAAGCAGGGACAAGGGGCCCCCACCCUAAGAAGAAACCAUCCUUAAAAGGAUUUUACACCAGCCUGGAAGGAGCCCUCCACCCUUUCCCAUGUGAGAUGACAAAAACCUGGUUGGGUGACAGGCUUAUGGCAACCCUCUGGGGUCCACCCUCUUCCAGAGCUUUGUACUAUCCCUUCGCUGUUGCUCAAUAAACUUUGCUUUGCUGCC